rnacentral:rRNA from 1 species
GGGGAAUAUUGCACAAUGGGCGAAAGCCUGAUGCAGCGACGCCGCGUGAGCGAAGAAGUAUUUCGGUAUGUAAAGCUCUAUCAGCAGGGAAGAUAAUGACGGUACCUGACUAAGAAGCACCGGCUAAAUACGUGCCAGCAGCCGCGGUAAUACGUAGGUCCCGAGCGUUGUCCGGAUUUAUUGGGCGUAAAGCGAGCGCAGGCGGUUUGAUAAGUCUGAAGUUAAAGGCUGUGGCUCAACCAUAGUUCGCUUUGGAAACUGUCAAACUUGAGUGCAGAAGGGGAGAGUGGAAUUCCAUGUGUAGCGGUGAAAUGCGUAGAUAUAUGGAGGAACACCGGUGGCGAAAGCGGCUCUCUGGUCUGUAACUGACGCUGAGGCUCGAAAGCGUGGAGAGCGAACAGGAUUAGAUACCCUGGUAGUCCACGCCGUAAACGAUGAGUGCUAGGUGUUGGAUCCUUUCCGGGAUUCAGUGCCGCAGCUAACGCAUUAAGCACUCCGCCUGGGGAGUACGACCGCAAGGUUGAAACUCAAAGGAAUUGACGGGGGCCCGCACAAGCGGUGGAGCAUGUGGUUUAAUUCGAAGCAACGCGAAGAACCUUACCAGGUCUUGACAUCCCGAUGCUAUUUCUAGAGAUAGAAAGUUACUUCGGUACAUCGGUGACAGGUGGUGCAUGGUUGUCGUCAGCUCGUGUCGUGAGAUGUUGGGUUAAGUCCCGCAACGAGCGCAACCCCUAUUGUUAGUUGCCAUCAUUCAGUUGGGCACUCUAGCGAGACUGCCGGUAAUAAACCGGAGGAAGGUGGGGAUGACGUCAAAUCAUCAUGCCCCUUAUGACCUGGGCUACACACGUGCUACAAUGGUUGGUACAACGAGUUGCGAGUCGGUGACGGCGAGCUAAUCUCUUAAAGCCAAUCUCAGUUCGGAUUGUAGGCUGCAACUCGCCUACAUGAAGUCGGAAUCGCUAGUAAUCGCGGAUCAGCACGCCGCGGUGAAUACGUUCCCG